rnacentral:rRNA from 1 species
AGAGUUUGAUCAUGGCUCAGAUUGAACGCUGGCGGCAUGCCUUACACAUGCAAGUCGAACGGCAGCAUGAUCUAGCUUGCUAGAUUGAUGGCAAGUGGCGAACGGGUGAGUAAUACAUCGGAACGUGCCCUGUAGUGGGGGAUAACUAGUCGAAAGAUUAGCUAAUACCGCAUACAACCUGAGGGUGAAAGUGGGGGACCGCAAGGCCUCAUGCUAUAGGAGCGGCCGAUGUCUGAUUAGCUAGUUGGUGAGGUAAAGGCUCACC